CGCAAGUGCACCCCCUCCUGCCUUGUCUGUCUUCCGGCAUCUUCUGCCGCUCACUGUCCUCUCGCUGGCUUUAGUCCCUCCACCACACCACACUCUUCCUCCGUUAGGACUUGUACAGAAGCCGCUCCCUCUGCCUGGCAUGGAUGCAUAUUUUUAUCUCCCAGUCUUUCUGAUUAUUCUCCCACUCACUCUGUGAAACCCUCUCACUCCACGCUCUGUUUCUUCAUGGCACUUAUUAAAGCUGUUAGGAACAAUUACUUGCUUAGUAUCCCCCACCUCCACCUGGAGAGAAUGCUUUCAGUUGUAACUGAUUGGUAACCUGAUCAACAGGUGGCUCAGAGGAGCAGGGGUUGGUUCUUCGCAGAUAUAAAGGAGGCUGGAGGUCGGGUUGGGGGAUAUCGUAGUCAGGUGCCUCAUUCGUUAUCGCUGUCAGGGCUCUGGUCUGAAGGCUUCUCUUGCUCUUUCCCUCAUGGGUGUAAAGUGACCGCCCCAGCUUCCAUCGUCACCCACGUUGAAGGCUGAAGGAAGGGAUGGCUCUGGGUCUAUUCUUUUUUGUCUCGGAAGCAAACUUUCCCAGAAGCCUGUGGUACACUUGCGUGUUUGUGCCAUUGGCCAUUUCUAGCUGUAUCAACUUUUUCAGCAACUGGUACGGAAGGGUUCCCAUGUGCAGCCAGGGCUGAGAACCACUGAUUUUGCGUAACCCCUAUUGAUGAGAAAACUUAGGGCUGGAAGUCAUCUUGCUCAAGGUCAUACAGCAAGUUCAGACUGGAGUAAGAAGAAUUGAGAAGAUAACCUGGAAUGGCUUAUUCCGUCAUUUGGCAAACAUUUUUUAAGCCUGCCAGUUGUGAUAGGCUUCGACACUGUCCUGUCUCUGCAGAAACUAACAGCUGAGAUAAAAAUGAAAGCAAUUACAUUUUAGUAUAGUGACUGUUACAAAAGGACUCCUUUUCCUGAUUGUGUCCUACCAUUUCUGGCCAUCUCUAGAUGGCCUGAAAAGUUACUUUGAGCUUUGAAGUUGGGUAAUACAGCAGAAGCAAGGACACAGAGAAACUGACUUUGAAAUAAAGAAAUAAAAUUUAAGCUGCCAACAGAGAACCAUGGUAAUGUGCUUCCUUUUCUCUUAAAUCCUGGAGAAGACUAAUGUGCCAUAAAGCAGAGUUCCUCAAGCAGAAGGAUUUGUCCUACCUUGUUGAAGAAAAAAAUAAAAUCGCUGUGAAAUUCCAGUGCUGACUGAAAUUAUUACAUUAAAUUGCUUAUUUUACUUAUAUUGUUCAUGAUGCUAUUUAAUAUGCACAAAUUUAAAACUACAAUAUAUUUUAUGCUUGUAACCCUUUUUUUAAGUUUAUUUUUGUGAGAGAGCACAAGUGGGGAAGGGGGAGAGAGAGAGAGAGAGAGAGAGAGACAGAUAGACACAGAA